GCGGCCCACAAGGGCAGUAGCUAGGAAGGCUGUGCCUCGCUGGGGGUUGGGUGAGACGAAACCAGGGAACCCCCCCCUCCAGGAGGCAUGCGGGACUCUGACCUCUCAUUUGGGGGUGCCCCCUAGCCCGCUCUACACACCUCCUCCCCCGCUUCCUACCCCACCCAAAUCUGCGCGCUCAAGAAGCAGCCAAACUUGAGAACUGUGCUGUUGCAUCCUCAGGCAAAUGAUUUCUUCUGUAAAUGUCUUCUUGGCAUGUCUAUGAAGAGACGUCCUCAGAGCCAAACUGCCUUUAUCUUCAUCAGAUCUGUUUGCAAGAGAUAAUCAUAGCUGACCAUGUUAACUGUGACCUACUUUUAUAUAAGGGGCACAGUGCAUCAUGGGACCUUCACAUGAGUAUCCAGGCACCCCUCCAAGCCAGCUGUAUGAAAAUCUAAUUGUACAAAGCCUCAAGGAGUCUGUGAUGGCUAAUCUUGGUUGUCAACUUGAAGACAUCUAGAAUCAACUGAAUCCCAAGCAGCUAGGUGUUGAGAAAUUUUCAUGAUCAAAUCAUCUGAGGUCAGAAGACUCACUCUAAAUCUGGGCUACACCUUCUGAUGGCAUCCCGCAUAAAAGGACACGAAAUAAGGAAAGUUUUGAUUUUUGCCUGCUUGUCCUCACUCUUACUGGCAAGUUCAUCUAGUCUGCUGCUGUGGCAUUCUUUCACUGGUGUUAGAACCUACUUCUUCAUGACUGAAGACUAUCUAAGAUAUCCAGCCAUGUGGACCGAAUAACUACUAAAUUUAUGGCCUUUUUUUUUUUUUUGGAGCAAUAGAUAUUCAUUGUUGGACUAGACAGACGACAGCCCGUUAGCCACUCUAAUAAAUUACCUUUAGUGUAAUAUUCUUUCUAUCAGUUCUGUUUCUUUAGAGAUCCCUGAUUAAUACAGAGAGGCUGGAGAAUAUAGAUGAGAAAAGGACUAGGGCAGGGAGCUCCAUCUAUGUAGCCUCAGGGAAGUUAUCAGCCAUACUGGGUACAGAUCAUCCGGUGUGGCUUAAGGCUACCCAUAUGACUACCUGUAACACCUCACCCAUUGCUAUGUAAUAAGCCUAACAAAGUCAUUGGUUUCU
rnacentral:lncRNA from 1 species